GUCAAUUUCUAUGUGGGUGUAAGCUAUUUUUCAUUUUCAAAAAAUCAAGAAAUGAUUGCGAAAUGGAAAAUACUUUGCAAAGAAAACGUCAACCCAAACAACGCUCGGGUUGGUUCCCAACAUUUCCAUUCUUCACAAUUCAAAGAUCGAUCGUGACUACUUGGGCUACUACCUAACUAUAGCCCUGUGAAAUCUCAGAAAUUGAAACUUGAUGCAAUUCCAAUGGAAUUUGUAGAGGACAAUGCAACAACUGUGAUGGAGAAGGAUUUGAGAACAGAAGUAAGAGAAUGUACACACGUUGCUACAGACUGUGUUGCAUCGAGCUCUGAGAGUUUUGUGAUAUCAACGCUUGCAAAUGAAGUCACAUUAAGCUUCACA
rnacentral:lncRNA from 13 species